CCUACGGGGCGCAGCAGUGGGGAAUAUUGGACAAUGGGCGAAAGCCUGAUCCAGCCAUGCCGCGUGAGUGAUGAAGGCCCUAGGGUUGUAAAGCUCUUUCACCGGUGAAGAUAAUGACGGUAACCGGAGAAGAAGCCCCGGCUAACUUCGUGCCAGCAGCCGCGGUAAUACGAAGGGGGCUAGCGUUGUUCGGAAUUACUGGGCGUAAAGCGCACGUAGGCGGAUAUUUGAGUCAGGGGUGAAAUCCCGGGGCUCAACCCCGGAACUGCCUUUGAUACUGGGUAUCUCGGGUCCGAGAGAGGUGAGUGGAAUUCCGAGAGUAGAGGUGAAAUUCGUAGAUAUUCGGAGGAACACCAGUGGCGAAGGCGGCUCACUGGCUCGGUACUGACGCUGAGGUGCGAAAGCGUGGGGAGCAAACAGGAUUAGAUACCCUCGUAGUC
rnacentral:rRNA from 1 species